AUUAUAAAAUCAAAAUUAACAUUUUUAAUGAUUGUGUUGUGAGAUGAAUUUUAUAUUUGAUAGUAUAAUGAGUUGUGGUGUCUCAUGAGUAAUUAGACCAUUUUAUAUAGAUGAAAUUUUUAUUUAGCAUUUGGGUUUUAAGGAUUAUGGCUGACGAUAGAAGUAAGAAACCGACGAGUAGUCCGAAUAAGAGAAAACGGUACAGUGCGCAGUCAACUGACUGUAACGAAAAUAUCUUGAAAAAGAAAAAAGAAGUGUGUGCAGAAAAAAGGAGUGAUGCAAAGAACAAAAGGAAUUGGUAUGCAACACUUUCAAGAGAAAAGAAACAACAGCUAUUAAGUAAGAAAAGGGAGGCAUAUGCAAAGAAGAGGAAGCUUAUGAUUGAUUGUGAGAAUUCUUCAUCAAAUUUUAGCAAUAGGCAUCAAAAAUAUUGUCAUCAAUGAUGGCGAUCAUAGUAAACAAGCAGGUAAGAUAGUUGGGAAUGAGUUUAAUAAAAGGAAAUUAGUAAAAUUCAGGAAUAGUUAAUUUUUCCUUUUUUGUGUGUGUAUACUGAAAUAAAAACAAAAUCUCCCUUUUGGCAGUGGUAGCGGCAAGAUGUAGGAAUCAUUAGGAGUGAUUUCUUCUUGUUUUAUCUCUGUCUUUCUAUCUAUCUCUAUCUUUUAAAUCACUGCUACUUGCAGUCUUCAAUCUACAUUUCUUCGUCUAUAAAGCAAUUUUUGGAAUAACAGCAAACUCUGUGAAGGUACUCAUUAGGCCAACCUCUUGUGGAGACUCAAAUGAUGGAUGCACUAGAAAUGUUGUUUAUCAAGAAGUAUUAAAGCUGGCAAAAUUGCGUUAAUAUUUGGAGAUUUGAUUAUGGAGGUUGAGAUUGAAGCUACAAGUUCAAAGGAAAUAGAGUCUAUAUUCUUUAUGUCCUGUAUCAUUUUUACCAACAAAAAGAUUAGUAAAACAAAGAGAACCGAGUCUACUCCUUUAGGCUCUAGGCACAGUAUUAUAAUUCUUAUACCUUGUCUUCAUUGGACUUGAGUUUGUAUGGCUGUCUUGGGAAUACUAAAUAAAAGAUUACCCAUUCGUCCCUCUUUAAUAUCCAUCCAUUUUGAGGUGGAGUACCAAAAAUUGCUUUAUAGAGGAAGAAAUGUAGAUUGAAGGCUGCAAGUGGCAGUGAUUUAAAAGAGAGAGAUAGAUAGAAAGACAGAGAUAAAACAAGAAGAAAUCACUCCUAAUGAUUCCUACAUCUUGCCACUACCACCGCCAAAAGGGAGAUUUUGUUUUUAUUUCAGUAUUUCGGUCAACAAAGGGGCAGUGUUUAAUAUAUCCACUUCUAUUAUUGGAGCUGGAAUUCUGGCACUGCCUGCCAUUAUGAAGGUGCUGGGUCUUGGGCUUGGAAUUGGUAUGAUAGUGUUUGUGGCUAUACUGACAGAGGGUUUGUUGGAAAUUCUGCUGAGAUUCGGUAGGGUGGGAAACUCUCACUCUUAUGGGGAAGUCAUGAGGGAUGCUUUUGGCCGUGCUAGGAGGUUGCUGCUUCAGAUUUGUAUCUUGGUUAAUAAUGUUGGGACACUCAUUGCUUACAUGAUCAUCAUUGGUAAUAUUUUAUUUCUAAUUCUUUAGACCAUGAGAGAAAUUUAUUCUACUUUUACUCUUUUUUAA